UCACAAUCUGAUAUUGUACUAACCAUAUUUAAAUGUUUGUUUAUUCCCAGAAAGAAUCUCUUAAAUGUCAGUAUCAUUCCCAUCUUAGUGAAGCAACUGAAGUUGAGAGCCUAAGUGUAUGCCUUGGCUCACAUAGCUGGGGAUUGAAAUCCAAAUCUUAACAAACUCCGAAAUACAUGUUCUCUUCACCACAUCGCCUCUCGCAUCCACAUCCAUACAGCCACUGCAGCGGAUGGCUCUCAGCUUCUAAAGGUCAUUGCUAUAGUCCCAGUGGAUUGUAAAUGGUCAAUUAAAAGGGAGAUGGUUGAAAUGAAUUAAACAAAUGAAGUCACAGCUUUGGGGAACGUGCAUACCACAGGGCAACUGCUUCUACUCCUCCAAAACUCUCCACCUCUAAAUCAAGGACCAAGAAAAAAGCCACAGGAACACAACAGGACAAUAAAGAUUUUGCCACUGACCCAAAGCAACGUGCCUUUGGCAGACUCCCAUCGUCUGAGUUCCAAGAAGCAGAGCCCAGGGGAAAGGCAUGGAAUACCUUUCCAGAACAGAGUUUCUCCUCUGCAUGAUGAGGUUAGGAACACCUGACCAACUGUUUUAACUUGGCCAACGUCCCCACUGGAGGCCAGGUCUUCCAUGCAGAGCUUCUCCACCAGGCGGGCACUGCUCUAGGCCCAGUGAAAAGACAGGCGAGGUCCCUGCUCUCCUGGUAUUUACAUUCUUGUUGGCGCAGGGAGCCAACAGAUAAACCAGAUCAAUUUAGAUAGUGAUAAGCUUAUAAAGUGCAUAAAACAUGGGGCUGGCCCGGUGGUGCAGGGGUUAAGUGUGCACGUUCCACUUCAGUGGCCUGGGGUGCCCCGGUUCGGAUCCUGGGUGCGGACAUGGCACCACUUGGCAAGCCAUGCUGUGGCAGGCGUCCCACGUAUAAAGUAGAGGAAGAUGGGCACGCAUGUUAGCUCAGGGCCAGUCUUCCUCAGCAAAAAGAGGAGGAUUGGCAGCAGUUAGCUCAGGGCUAAUCUUCCUCAAAACAAACAAACAAAAAAGGAGCAUAAAACAGUAAGGUGGUGUCCACAGUGAUGGAGGAGUAGCUAUUUUAAUUUGAGUGGAAAGAUGAGAACUUUCAUUCACUCAACAACUAAACAUAGUAGUAGGCACUGGGAGGGCACCAAAGAAAUAGGAGUGAUGUUUCUGUUUGAAGGACCUUAUGUUUAGCUGGAGAGAUGAGAUAAAUAUGUAAGAGUCCAGAAGGAGUUAUGCAUAUGCAAAACCCACAUGCAAACCUGGAAGCCUGAAGGCCGAGGGACAGGAAACAAGGCAGUGAUCAGGGCAAGCUCAAAUCAGUAGGACAGGCUUCUCAAGAAGACACGUCUGAGCAGUUGGGAAUACGUUGUGCACCUGGGUUGUCUGAGAGAAAGAGCCUUAGAUCCUUGCCACUGAGCCACUGGGAAGUGGAGUCAGGAUUUGGUCCAGGGCUGAGAACCCCAAGCCAAAUUGUCAGACAGAAGAGAUAACAAGUUACCAGCUUGAGGUCGAAUUUGGAAGGACGAGCAAAAAGAGAAAUAAUGCUGCACUUCAGAUCAAUUCCAAAUGCCUUCCCCUGGCCUCCGAAGCACUGCCCGCCUCCCCCCCUCGCCUCCUACCUCUCCUCCUGGCUGCAGCCUCACUGGCCUCCCCCUGGCACUCACUCGGCCUCACGGUUGUCCGUGCGGACUUCGGCGUUUGAUGAUUCUGCUCAGAAAGCGCUUCUUUCACAGCCUCGCAGGCCUGCUUCCUUCGUGUUAGCUGUCUUGGCUCGGCUCACCUGUCUUUUCCUCUGCGAGGCCUUUGCUGAGCAUCCUUCCCAAAGGAGCCUCCUCCAUCUUCCCAAUCCCUCUCUCUCACCUCACCCUGACAUCUUUUCUUCAGAGCACUUGACCAGCUCACAUCUUUUGUUUCUUUAUUUGUUUACUUAUCUGUUUUCUGUUUUCCCCUCUAGGAAGUUUGAUUUGAGCAGAAAGCUGUGUGCUUUAUUCCCUGCUGUAUCCCCAUUGCUCAAAUGCCACCACUACCUAGCAAAAGCUUACUAGAGCCUUGUUGGAUUCAUUAAAGUGCCUACUCUGCGCCAAGCAUUGUGGGAAGCUCUUUCCAUAACAAUGUGACAUCCCGUUUAAUCCCCACAACAAUGCCAAGUGGCAGGUUUUGUCCUGCUCGUUUUACAGAUGAGAAAACCGAGGCCCAGAAAAGCUAAUUAACUUCCUCAACAGCACAUAGCUGGUAAGCAGCAACUGAACCCAAGUCUGUCUAUCCCUAAAGUCUAUGUCUUCUCUACUUUUCGAGGGGAAAAGAGGAAGUGAAAUCGAGAAUGUAAAGGAUCCAAAUCAGGUUAAGAUUCUCGUACCACAGUUAGGAACCCGGGGCAGUCAGUCCCGUUGUCAAAUGAAGACCAGGAACCCCAGGGCUCAAGACCAGCACAGCUUUCCACUGGUGUUGACAGAGGUCUGAAUGCAAGAGGACUUUCCUACGAAGGCUGAAGAAAAUACGAUGCAGCCGUGGGUGUCAGCUGAAGAACAGCCAACACAAGAGCUGGAUCCUAUUUACCCACGGAAUGAAUUGUGACUGCUAUUUUUCAAGGGAUUAAAAAAAGGAAUGCCGUGUGAAGGAAAACACUUACUCCGCACACCCUGAAGUGAACACAUACCAUUCUUGUUUCGCCAUGAGAACGUUUGGCCAACUGCCUCUCGCCUUUUACCAUUUUCUUGCUCAUUCUCUUACCUUUCUCAAAAAUAAGAGGAUGUUCAUUAAUCAGAGGCACCAUUCUGGGGAGUUGCAUAACAACCUGGAAACCAUCACAACUGGGGAAGUGGGAAGCAACUCGGACUUGCAAAAUUGGAAGUCCUAGAUUUUAGGACAAUAGUCUGCUCCUUAAUUCCUUUGCCUGGGUGAUUAAGCCAGUUUAUCUAAACCUCAGCUCGCUCAUCUACAAGAUGAUGGAAAUGAUAUCUGCUCUGCUGACUUCAUAGGGGUUUUGAGAGGAUUAAACGAGAUGACGUGGGGCUGGCCCCGUGGCCGAGUGGUUAAGUUCGCGCGCUCUGCUGCAGGCGGCCCAGUGUUUCCUUAGUUCGAAUCCUGGGCGCGGACACAGCACUGCUCAUCAGACCAUGCUGAGGCAGCGUCCCACAUGCCACAACUAGAAGAACCCACAACGAAGAAUACACAACUAUGUACCGGGGGGCUUUGGGGAGAAAAA
ensembl:lncRNA